UUUGUGACUCUGCCUCGCAUCCGUCUUCCCUCUCUCUCUCGUCUCGACCGGCAUUGGGCGAAGGCCUCUCUUCUCUUCACCACUCGGCCUCUGUUUCUCCACCGCACCUUAAAUUUCGUGUCGCUAAUCCUCCCAUUUCCUUCGGUUAGGGUUAGAUUUAGGAUCAGGGGGCUUCGGAGGACGGGUUUCUCUCCUCUCCUCUCCAUUUCCAUCCGAUUCCUAAAAAUGGCGCCUUUUUAGGUGCUGGGGUUGGGGAUCCCAUUUCCAGCAAUCGCAUUUACGGCCUCGAUCUCUCUCGAUCAUAAGGGUUCCGAUCCGAUGUCGCCGCCAUCCGGCGGCGCAGCUGCCGAUCCCGCCGGAUCGCGGUCGUGGCUCCGUGAUCCGGCGGUGGAGGAGGAGGAGGAGGAGGAGGUUGCAGCGGAGGGGAUCGACUUCUUCGACCAACUGCCGGACUCCCUGGUGCUCACCGUGUUCAACUUGAUCGGCGACGUCAAGGAUCUGGGGCGGUGCUGCGUCGUCACCCGCCGCUUCCACGACCUCGUCCCCCUCGUCGACUCCGUCCUCGUCCGCGUGGACUGCGUCAUUUCCGACGGCCCCUCGCCGUCCUCUCCCGGCGGGGACAAGGCCCGCGGCGUCUUCUCUCACCUCGCUCGCGUGGUUCUCGGUGGUCUCGUGAAGCCCUUGCAGGCCCUCGGUCAGAUACUGGGCCCAUCUUCGGCCGUCACCUCCAGCCGGAGGUAUUCGCCCUCUUCCUCCUCGUCUGAGGUCUCCCACCACUCACCGGCCGAGGUCCUGAAGAACUUUAAGGAGAUCCGCCGCCUACGAAUCGAGCUCCCCGCCGGUGAGCUCGGGGUCGACGAUGGCAUCCUCUUGAAGUGGAAGGCUGAGUUCGGGUCGUCACUCGACAGCUGCGUCAUUCUCGGUGCAGCCUCCGUCGUCCCGUCGUCUUCGGUCUCACCGACCAAACCUUCGAGCCUCGACCCCAAACCUUGCUUCCAGGACGCUUGUGGAGAUGAUGACAGCGGGGUCAUCCCGGAAUCGUUCUACACCAACGGCAACUUGAAGCUCAGGGUGUUCUGGACGAUCAGCUCCCUGAUUGCUGCAUCAGCGAGGCAUUACCUCCUCCAGCCGAUCAUCGCCGAUCACGAGACUCUGGAGAGCUUAGAGCUCACCGACGUGGAUGGGCAGGGAGUGCUGACAAUGAAUCACGAGCAGCUGCAUGAGUUCCGGGUGAAGCCAGUGUCCGCUUCAGGGAGCUCACAGAGAACCCUAGUGCCAGCUCUCAGCAUCCGGCUAUGGUAUGCACCCCAUCUGGAGCUUCCUGGUGGGGUGGUACUGAAGGGAGCGACACUGGUGGCUGUCCGGCCAAGCGAGGAAAAGGAUAGGGACGCUGCCAUUGUUGGGGAUUGUGGUGGUCCUGUUGGGUCCUCGGACAGGUGCUGGAUCUCAAAUGCCUUUGAAGAGCCAUACAGGUCGGCAGCCAGGAUGCUUGUGAAGAGGAGGACUUACAGCCUCGAGAUGAAUUCAUUCUGAAAUCUAAGAAGAGGCUCUAUGUCGAGUUUUGGUGAACUGGAAGAGUAAGACAUUGUCUUGAGAACCAGAUGAGAACUUGUCGACUCUUCCACUCCAUCGUUAUGGUAACUCAUCUCCUGCAAUGCACUCAUGAUACUGCUGCUAAUGGUGAACUGCGCUGUCAUCUGCAAAUGUCUUCUGCCAGUGUUAACCUUCAUGGAUCAGCAUGGGAAUCUUGGUUUGAAAUUGCAACUUCGGCCAGAGAGAUAAAAAUCAUUGAUCGGUGUGGAAUCUUGACUUGGAUGUCUCUUGCUUCGCUUAUGACAGAUCAUUAUGCAUGUAUAGUGGUUGCAACCAUGAGCUUUGUCGAAUGAAUCAUUAGGUCUUUUUGUAUGUUCUAUGUAAGUGUAAAAUGAAUUGCAUAGUAUCUAGGACAGAUUUGGAUUCAGAUUUCUAGAUUUAGAUAUUGAUUAAGUUUUAGAUUUAAAAGAGAAAUUAUAUAUGUUUAUCCAUUCAUGGAUUCAGAAUCUUAGACCAUCGGAAUCUAUAUUUAGA